GAGGGUAUAGCUCAGUGGUAGAGUGGGUGCUUCACCUGCACCAGGUCCUGGGUUCAUUCCCAAGCACCUCCA
rfam:Camelus ferus unplaced genomic scaffold scaffold1415, whole genome shotgun sequence.